rnacentral:sRNA from 1 species
AUUCAAAGAAAGAUGGAUUAUUUGGACAUUAUGUAGCAAUAGAAUAUGUGAAAGAUAGUGAUUUACCACAGCCGGAAUUUAACAGUUUCUUCAUAAGUGAUAUUGAGAAAGCAAGAAAAUCUCCCAACCAAACUUUAAUUGAUUACAUUGAAGGUGUAGAAGAAAGUCAGCGC